AAAAAACAUAUGCAUCCGACACAGUCACUCCAUAGCGGUACCAAUAUCAUUCCUGCUUUCUCUGUGGAGCGCGACAGGGUUUAACCACGCCCACAAUCUGUGAGAAUUGUUGAUGAACUCGUUGACUGCAGUUCUCUAUGACCUGAAGGACUUACUUGCAGAGGAGUUCUUUCUGAUGAAGAAGGGAACUUCUGGCGGAUCCAGCUGUGGCCAGGCCGGUGGUAGCUGGUCCACUGCAGGACGCUGAGGUGCGGGAGAUCCCUCCGCCCCCCCCUGGACAUCGGGGGGUCCCCGGCGUACACAGUCCGGUCCAUCUUGGACUCCAGGCGUCGGGUAGGGGGCCUGCAGUACCUCGUGGACUGGGAGGGGUACGGUCCGGAGGAGAGGUGCUGGGUACCAGUGGAGGACAUCUUGGAUCCAUCACUGUUGCGGGAAUUCCACAGCCUCCAUCUGGAUUGCCCUGCGCCUCGCCCUCCGGGUCGUCCUCGAGGCCGGCGUCGGCGCGCUGCGGGAGCUGCGCAUCAGGGGAGGGGGGGUACUGUCACAACGUCCACAGAAGGUGGUGCCUCUCCCCGUUCUGGCGGCGCUCGGCGGUCGUCGUCGCCGGCCUACUAGCUGCCACCGAUCUCCUUUUCUUUUUCAUUUGGUGAUGUCUGUUUUUGUUAGCACCUGUUUUGAGUUAGUUCAUUUGUGAGGGUAUUUAGUCUGUCUGUUUUGGUUUGGGAUUGUGCGGGAUUGUUUCGUG
rnacentral:lncRNA from 1 species